rnacentral:tRNA from 1 species
CGGGCAUCGUAUAAUGGCUAUUACCUCAGCCUUCCAAGCUGAUGAUGCGGGUUCGAUUCCCGCUGCCCGCUCCAA